rnacentral:rRNA from 1 species
UCGCAUCUGCGCGUACGCGUGAUACGGGUACUCCAAGUGCUCAUGCUUUUACAUGGUGCUUUUGCCAAGGGUGAAUACCUUGGCGAAUAAGUGGUGGGCAAGACUGGUGCCAGCAGCCGCGGUAAACUC